GUCUUUGUGGAUUUAUAUACAAAGUCUGGCCUGCCCACUGAUAAUUUUUUUGAAUGGCUGCGGUAUUUUGACCGUGCGAAGGUAGCAUAGUCACUAGUCUUUUAAUUGAAGGCUUGAAUGAAAGGUCGGACGGGAAGAAACCUGUCUUAGUUUAAUAAAUUGAAUUUAACUUUUAUGUGAAAAGGCAUGAAUAAGUUGAAGGGACGAUAAGACCCUAUAAAACUUAAUAUUUUAUGCUGCUUAUUAGAAUUAUUGGUGUAAUUAGUGGUAAGAUAAAAAUAUUAUGUUGGGGCGACAGAGAUAGAAGUUAUUAGAAUUAACUGUCUAUAGAAUAAAAUAAAUUUAAUUAGAAAAUGACCCUGAAUUUUGGUGCAUAAGUAAAAGUUACUUUAGGGAUAACAGCGUGAUUACUCUUGAGAGUCCAAAUUAACAGAGAUAGUUGCGACCUCGAUGUUGAAUUAAUAUUUCUCCUGGGGGCAGAAUAUCAGGAAGUAGGUCUGUUCGACCUUUAAUUAUAUUACAUGAUUUGAGUUCAAACCGGUGUGAG
rnacentral:rRNA from 1 species